rnacentral:rRNA from 1 species
UACAGAGGUCUCGAGCGUUAGGCGGAAUCACUGGGCUUAAAGCGUGUGUAGGCGGAUUGCUAAGUACCUUGUGAAAUCCCACGGCUUAACCGUGGAACUGCUUGGUAUACUGGCUGCCUUGAGCCACUUAGGGGCAACCGGAACAAACGGUGGAGCGGUGAAAUGCGUAGAUAUCGUUUGGAACGCCAAUGGUGAAAACAGGUUGCUGGGAGUGUGCUGACGCUGAGACACGAAAGCCAGGGGAGCAAACGGG